rnacentral:rRNA from 1 species
ACGAACGCUGGCGGCGUGCCUAAUACAUGCAAGUAGAACGCUGAAGAGAGGAGCUUGCUCUUCUUGGAUGAGUUGCGAACGGGUGAGUAACGCGUAGGUAACCUGCCUUGUAGCGGGGGAUAACUAUUGGAAACGAUAGCUAAUACCGCAUAACAAUGGAUGACACAUGUCAUUUAUUUGAAAGGGGCAAUUGCUCCACUACAAGAUGGACCUGCGUUGUAUUAGCUAGUAGGUGAGGUAAUGGCUCACCUAGGCGACGAUACAUAGCCGACCUGAGAGGGUGAUCGGCCACACUGGGACUGAGACACGGCCCAGACUCCGACGGGAGGCAGCAGUAGGGAAUCUUCGGCAAUGGGGGCAACCCUGACCGAGCAACGCCGCGUGAGUGAAGAAGGUUUUCGGAUCGUAAAGCUCUGUUGUAAGUCAAGAACGGGUGUGAGAGUGGAAAGUUCACACUGUGACGGUAGCUUACCAGAAAGAGACGGCUAACUACGUG